rnacentral:lncRNA from 1 species
GGUAAUCCUUGUUUUGAUUGCCGGUUUCUGUCCUAUACUUGGGAGACACCGUAUUAAUAGAGAAACAUUAAGCAAUAACCUUGAGAAAUAUGAAUAUCACUGCCACAAAAAUUUUGAGAGGAGGUAAAAGAAAUGAGGUGACUUGUCUAAGUUCAUAAAGGGAGUCCAUAGCAGUGAUGGGAUUCAAACCCUGGUCCUGGUCCAGAAUGAAGUACUUUUCUUACUGUGCCAGUUGCCAGAGUUUCAUUUGGGAGGAAAAAAAAAAGUUUCUUCAUUGUUGUGUCCGACUCUUCAUUCUCUUCAUUUGGAGUUUCCUUCCUUCUUCAACAUUAUAUGGAAGAGGAUUUGGGGCAAACACCGUUAAGUGACUUGUCCAGGGUCACACAGGUAAGAUGAGGAAACUGAGGCAAACAAAGUUGAGCCUGAGGUAGGAUUUAAGCUCGAGAAGAUGAAUCUUCCUGAUUCCAAGGCCAGUGAUCUAUCCAUCCACUGCAUCACCUAGAUGCCUUGUUUUUACUGAUGGACAGCUUCUAUGAAUUACUUGUAAUGCUGCAUACAAUAGUCUGUAUAAUAGGAAUUCUUCACUUUUUAGAUUUUAUAUAUGUAAAUAGUUAGAUCAAACCCUUUUGAGUAUUUAUGAGUUUUAUGUAGGAGGCUCUGCAAUGAGAUCCACAACCACUUAAGCAGGGCUACUUCACCUCUGCACUUCUCAAAUUCUUCAUGACACUCUGAAGGGAAUGACCAAAUAUUCCUAAUUUCCUAAUUAAUUCUUCAGAGACUGUAGUAUUCUCAUCCUCAUACAAUACCACCAGCAGAAUGUUACUCAUGAUACUCUUAAUUCAUAUAUACAUAUGUAUUAGACACAUAUGCAUGCUAUAUAUAUGUAUCAUAUGUUGAUUGGUGAAUAUGUACUUUUGUCAGAUAUGUAACAAAUUUGUAAUCUCGCUUUUUUCUAUAAAUAUGGUUAUAUCUAUUUUAUGUCAGUAGCUAUCAAAAUAAAAAGACAGCCU